rnacentral:lncRNA from 1 species
CUUCAGCCUCGUUCAAAAGUUGAUGAAUUGCUCGUGGAUCUUUCAGAAGUAAGGCACAUGACCAUCUGCAGCUGAUGUAAGAGUUUCUCUUUGUGCAAAGUUCAGGCACCCACUGCAGAUUAGUCACUGGCAGAUUAGAGGUAAGGUCCUAACACACAUGCCUCAACCGGCAACUCACUGAGCGCUAUGUGAUGGAAAGAGGGGUGGAACAUCUCACCGCAGCUGGACUGUCACGCCAAGCUCAGAGCAAAUAAGGAAUGCCUCCUACCAAGCAGCAGGAAGCUGGUGGAGAUAUGGAGAGGAUCAAUAAGGAGACCGGGGAGCUGAGCGCCUCUGGGGAGAUUGCAGAGAGCACAGAACUGAAGACAGACAAAGCCCAGACUGAGCCUAGCACACAGGAGGACACACACACUGACGCAAACGCAGUCACGGCUCUCCAGCAGCAGCUCUUACAGCUCAGCCAGGCCGCGGCUGAUCAGAGAGAGCAUGAGCUUGAUCUGCUUCUGCCUCUGUUUAUUCAGGUAACUAGCACUUUCAGUGUGCAAUAAGUGAUUAAAGGUAGGGGUGGACGAUAUGGCUCUAAAAUAAUAU